GACGAACGCUGGCGGCGUGCCUAACACAUGCAAGUCGAGCGGUAAGGCCCUUUCGGGGGUACACGAGCGGCGAACGGGUGAGUAACACGUGGGUGACCUGCCCUCAGCUCUGGGAUAAGCCUGGGAAACCGGGUCUAAUACCGGAUAUGACUCCAUGACGCAUGUUGUGGGGUGGAAAGCCUUGUGCGGCUGAGGAUGGGCCCGCGGCCUACCAGCUUGUUGGUGGGGUGAUGGCCACCAAGGCGACGACGGGUAGCCGGCCUGAGAGGGCGACCGGCCACACUGGGACUGAGAUACGGCCCAGACUCCUACGGGAGGCAGCAGUGGGGAAUAUUGCGCAAUGGGCGGAAGCCUGACGCAGCGACGCCGCGUGGGGAUGACGGCC
rnacentral:rRNA from 1 species